AAAUUGAAGAGUUUGAUCAUGGCUCAGAUUGAACGCUGGCGGCAGGCCUAACACAUGCAAGUCGAACGGUAACAGGAAACAGCUUGCUGUUUCGCUGACGAGUGGCGGACGGGUGAGUAAUGUCUGGGAAACUGCCUGAUGGAGGGGGAUAACUACUGGAAACGGUAGCUAAUACCGCAUAACGUCGCAAGACCAAAGAGGGGGACCUUCGGGCCUCUUGCCAUNNNNNNUGCCCAGAUGGGAUUAGCUAGUAGGUGGGGUAACGGCUCACCUAGGCGACGAUCCCUAGCUGGUCUGAGAGGAUGACCAGCCACACUGGAACUGAGACACGGUCCAGACUCCUACGGGAGGCAGCAGUGGGGAAUAUUGCACAAUGGGCGCAAGCCUGAUGCAGCCAUGCCGCGUGUAUGAAGAAGGCCUUCGGGUUGUAAAGUACUUUCAGCGGGGAGGAAGGGAGUAAAGUUAAUACCUUUGCUCAUUGACGUUACCCGCAGAAGAAGCACCGGCUAACUCCGUGCCAGCAGCCGCGGUAAUACGGAGGGUGCAAGCGUUAAUCGGAAUUACUGGGCGUAAAGCGCACGCAGGCGGUUUGUUAAGUCAGAUGUGAAAUCCCCGGGCUCAACCUGGGAACUGCAUCUGAUACUGGCAAGCUUGAGUCUCGUAGAGGGGGGUAGAAUUCCAGGUGUAGCGGUGAAAUGCGUAGAGAUCUGGAGGAAUACCGGUGGCGAAGGCGGCCCCCUGGACGAAGACUGACGCUCAGGUGCGAAAGCGUGGGGAGCAAACAGGAUUAGAUACCCUGGUAGUCCACGCCGUAAACGAUGUCGACUUGGAGGUUGUGCCCUUGAGGCGUGGCUUCCGGAGCUAACGCGUUAAGUCGACCGCCUGGGGAGUACGGCCGCAAGGUUAAAACUCAAAUGAAUUGACGGGGGCCCGCACAAGCGGUGGAGCAUGUGGUUUAAUUCGAUGCAACGCGAAGAACCUUACCUGGUCUUGACAUCCACGGAAGUUUUCAGAGAUGAGAAUGUGCCUUCGGGAACCGUGAGACAGGUGCUGCAUGGCUGUCGUCAGCUCGUGUUGUGAAAUGUUGGGUUAAGUCCCGCAACGAGCGCAACCCUUAUCCUUUGUUGCCAGCGGUCCGGCCGGGAACUCAAAGGAGACUGCCAGUGAUAAACUGGAGGAAGGUGGGGAUGACGUCAAGUCAUCAUGGCCCUUACGACCAGGGCUACACACGUGCUACAAUGGCGCAUACAAAGAGAAGCGACCUCGCGAGAGCAAGCGGACCUCAUAAAGUGCGUCGUAGUCCGGAUUGGAGUCUGCAACUCGACUCCAUGAAGUCGGAAUCGCUAGUAAUCGUGGAUCAGAAUGCCACGGUGAAUACGUUCCCGGGCCUUGUACACACCGCCCGUCACACCAUGGGAGUGGGUUGCAAAAGAAGUAGGUAGCUUAACCUUCGGGAGGGCGCUUACCACUUUGUGAUUCAUGACUGGGGUGAAGUCGUAACAAGGUAACCGUAGGGGAACCUGCGGUUGGAUCACCUCCUUA
rnacentral:rRNA from 1 species